GCCCCAGUAACGGCGAGUGAAGCGGCAACAGCUCAAAUUUGAAAUCUGGCCCCUUGAGGUCCGAGUUGUAAUUUGUAGAGGAUGCUUUUGGUGAGGUGCCGCCCGAGUUCCCUGGAACGGGACGCCACAGAGGGUGAGAGCCCCGUCUGGCUGGCCACCGAGCCUCUGUAAAGCUCCUUCGACGAGUCGAGUAGUUUGGGAAUGCUGCUCAAAAUGGGAGGUAUAUGUCUUCUAAAGCUAAAUAUUGGCCAGAGACCGAUAGCGCACAAGUAGAGUGAUCGAAAGAUGAAAAGCACCUUGAAAAGAGGGUUAAAUAGUACGUGAAAUUGUUGAAAGGGAAGCGCUUGUGACCAGACUUGGGCGCGGCGGAUCAUCCGGGGUUCUCUCCGGUGCACUUCGCCGCGUUCAGGCCAGCAUCAGUUCGUCGCGGGGGAUAAAGGCUUCGGGAACGUGGCUCCUCCGGGAGUGUUAUAGCCCGUUGCAUAAUACCCUGCGGUGGACUGAGGACCGCGCAUCUGCAAGGAUGCUGGCGUAAUGGUCACCAGCGACCCGUCUUGAAACACGGACCAAGGAGUCGUCUUCGUAUGCGAGUGUUCGGGUGUCAAACCCCUACGCGUAAUGAAAGUGAACGCAGGUGAGAGCUUCGGCGCAUCAUCGACCGAUCCUGAUGUUCUCGGAUGGAUUUGAGUAAGAGCAUACGGGGCCGGAC
rnacentral:rRNA from 1 species